GGCUCCGUAGCUCAGCGGUCAGAGCAGUCGGCUCAUAACCGAUUGGUCGUAGGUUCGAACCCUACCGGAGCCACCA
rnacentral:tRNA from 2 species